UCUCUCUCUCUCCUCAGAAAACCUCUCUCUCUCUCUCUCUCUCUCUCUCCUCUACGUGUUACUGUUGCCGACGACGCAGGAGUACUUUCCGGCCACCAUUUUUAGCCACGCGCCGGACCGUUGGAUUCAGAGGCCUCCGAACUAUCGACUCACGCGAGAAUCUAGAGCUCACUCGCCGAUUAAACGCCUCAACCACUCGAUUUAAGUUCGGCCACCCCGCGACUUCAAAGUUGCGAUUCGGCCACCUCGGGCAUCCGUUUGCCGAUCCGUCACCACCAUCGUGCUCCUCGUGUUGUGGGCUUCAAAACCCAAUAACUUGUUCCUACAUCUACCAUAGUUGGGUGGUGGGCCCACCACGAGCCACCGCGAUCCACCGUAGAUCGACGGUCGAAACUUAGUGUUCGAGGUUCCGAAGUACGUUUUGAGUCUCAGAAAAUCAUCGUUUGACUUAUUGUGGAACCCGAUCAUUUUGGAUUUGUAUGGAUUUGAUUGAUUGACUCUUGGUGAGCCGUUUUAAAAUAAGCUAAGGACCUAAGGUGUGGCUUUAGCUGUUGAGCAACUUGUGGAGCACGGACUCAGUAGCAAUGCAAUAAUAGUUUAGAGUUUUCAUAUGGCUGCCUUAAAUUUAAAGUAUUCAUACGUGUAAUAAUUUCUUCUAAUAAGUUUAUAUAAAAGUUUAAAUUUUUCUGUA